rnacentral:ncRNA from 2 species
AUUACACAAAUAUGAAGGCGGGCUGGAACCUCUCGGGGUUACAGCCUUGCUGAAUUAUUCACCCUUGUCUUUUGCGUACUUCUUGUUUCCUUGGUGGGUUCGCCCACCACUAGGACAAACAUAAACCUUUUGUAAUUGCAAUCAGCGUCAGUAACAAAUUAAUAAUUACAACUUUCAACAACGGAUCUCUUGGUUCUGGCAUCGAUGAAGAACGCAGCGAAAUGCGAUAAGUAGUGUGAAUUGCAGAAUUCAGUGAAUCAUCGAAUCUUUGAACGCACAUUGCGCCCUUUGGUAUUCCAAAGGGCAUGCCUGUUCGAGCGUCAUUUGUACCCUCAAGCUUUGCUUGGUGUUGGGCGUCUUGUCUCUAGCUUUGCUGGAGACUCGCCUUAAAGUAAUUGGCAGCCGGCCUACUGGUUUCGGAGCGCAGCACAAGUCGCACUCUCUAUCAGCAAAGGUCUAGCAUCCAUUAAGCCUUUUUUUCAACUUUUGACCUCGGAUCAGGUAGGGAUACCCGCUGAACUUAAGCAUAUCAAUAAGCGGAGGAAAAGAAACCAACAGGGAUUGCCCUAGUAACGGCGAGUGAAGCGGCAACAGCUCAAAUUUGAAAUCUGGCUCUUUUAGAGUCCGAGUUGUAAUUUGCAGAGGGCGCUUUGGCUUUGGCAGCGGUCCAAGUUCCUUGGAACAGGACGUCACAGAGGGUGAGAAUCCCGUACGUGGUCGCUGGCUAUUGCCGUGUAAAGCCCCUUCGACGAGUCGAGUUGUUUGGGAAUGCAGCUCUAAAUGGGAGGUACAUUUCUUCUAAAGCUAAAUAUUGGCCAGAGACCGAUAGCGCACAAGUAGAGUGAUCGAAAGAUGAAAAGCACUUUGGAAAGAGAGUCAAACAGCACGUGAAAUUGUUGAAAGGGAAGCGCUUGCAGCCAGACUUGCUUACAGUUGCUCAUCCGGGUUUCUACCCGGUGCACUCUUCUGUAGGCAGGCCAGCAUCAGUUUGGGCGGUAGGAUAAAGGUCUCUGUCACGUACCUCCUUUCGGGGAGGCCUUAUAGGGGAGACGACAUACUACCAGCCUGGACUGA